UACGUAGGGCGCAAGCGUUGUCCGGAAUUAUUGGGCGUAAAGAGCUCGUAGGCGGUCUGUCGCGUCGGCUGUGAAAACCCGAGGCUCAACCUCGGGCCUGCAGUCGAUACGGGCAGACUAGAGUGCUGUAGGGGAGACUGGAAUUCCUGGUGUAGCGGUGAAAUGCGCAGAUAUCAGGAGGAACACCGGUGGCGAAGGCGGAUCUCUGGGCCUUACCUGACGCUCAGGUGCGAAAGCUAGGGGAGCGAACAGG
rnacentral:rRNA from 1 species